rnacentral:rRNA from 1 species
UUGACCUCGGAUCAGGUAGGGAUACCCGCUGAACUUAAGCAUAUCAAUAAGCGGAGGAAAAGAAACCAACAGGGAUUGCCUCAGUAACGGCGAGUGAAGCGGCAAAAGCUCAAAUUUUAAAGCUGGCAUCUUCGGUGUCCGCGUUGUAAUUUUGUGAGGCAUCUCCGGGUAGGGCGCCGGCCUAAGUUCCUUGGAACAGGACGUCACAGAGGGUGAGAAUCCCGUGCUUGGCUGGCUGUCCCCGUCCAUGUGAGGUGUCUUCGACGAGUCGAGUUGUUUGGGAAUGCAGCUCAAAAUGGGUGGUAAAUUUCAUCUAAAGCUAAAUAUUGGUGGGAGACCGAUAGCGCACAAGUAGAGUGAUCGAAAGAUGAAAAGCACUUUGAAAAUAGAGUUAAAAAGUACGUGAAAUUGUUGAAAGGGAAGCGCUUGAGACCAGACUUCGGUAGGGAGUGAUCAGCCGUCCUUCUGGACGGUGCACUUGCCCCCCUCCGGGCCAGCAUCGGUUGAGGCGGCGGGAUAAAUGUCCCGGGAAUGUGGCUCCUUCACGGGAGUGUUAUAGCCCGGGUGAAUGCCGCCAGUCUCGACCGAGGACCGCACCCGCAAGGGUUAGGAUGCUUGGCAUAAUGGUCUUCAGCGACCCG